rnacentral:rRNA from 1 species
UACGUAGGGUGCGAGCGUUGUCCGGAAUUACUGGGCGUAAAGAGCUCGUAGGUGGUUUGUCGCGUUGUUCGUGAAAACCUGAGGCUUAACCUUGGGCGUGCGGGCGAUACGGGCAGACUGGAGUACUGCAGGGGAGACUGGAAUUCCUGGUGUAGCGGUGGAAUGCGCAGAUAUCAGGAGGAACACCGGUGGCGAAGGCGGGUCUCUGGGCAGUAACUGACGCUGAGGAGC